rnacentral:lncRNA from 1 species
AACAGUUCAACAUCACGUACUAUUUAAAACAACUAUAAAAAAUUCGACAGAACAAAACUGAGAAAAAACAUCAGAGGAUCAGCAUCGUUCAUCAACAUCAUAUAUUUACAAAACUUCGAAGAAACAGAUCAUCAAUUAAAGCAUAUACACAUACGAAUGAUGAAUUUGUUGAUAAUUUGAUUCCAUCUAACUUCUACCAGAUUCGAUCUCUCCUUCCUAUUGUUAAAAACGUGAGGAGGAGUACUUUGUUGAUAACUUGAUUCGAGAUUUUAGGAUGAUUACGAUCGGCCAUUGAAGGAGAAGAAGGAUGCGAGAGAUUGAGCUAGUCCUGAAACGAUCGCUACCUUCACUUGACCUCUCACCGGAAUCGGACGACUGUUAAUGGAUCGGAUGCUGCUCCUCUGCUUCAUCUCGUUUGAUAUCGUUACUCCGGCCAUCUGAAUAAACUUUUUUUUGGCGGCGGCGCACGGUGGCUCUCCGUUGCGAUUUGCGAAAUGGAUUUUGGGAACGAAUGUUUUGAGUGGUAGUUUACUUCGUUUGUCGAUCCCUUCUAUAUAUAUAUAUAUAUANNNNNNNNNNNNNNNNNNNNNNNNNUAUAUACAUACGACUCUUCCGGAUAUGCCCCUGUUAUUUUUGGAAAAUUACAUAAAAGUCCAUGGCGGCAUAUUGACCAUAUUGACUAUUUUGACAUUAACUUUUUAUUUAUUUAUUGAUUGAUUUAUAUUUAUAUUUUCAGAUUUGAAGCAUUUUUAGUAUCGGAAAUUGGGAAUUGUUCACACCACUAGCAAUAAAUUUGAUUUUUGACUUCACAUCUAGUGACAGUGGCUACUGGCUAGUGGUCCUUUCUGUUACGUGGAAGUUAAUAUUAUAAUUUAUGUCUCUGAACAUUUAAUGAAGGAUUUUUGAAAUUUUAAUUAUAUACUCAUUUAAAUCGUUUAACAAAUGAGAUGCAUAAAAACAUUGAUACUGUUACCUGUCCAUUUUUCUCUUAUAUAUAUUUCUAAUAAAAAUUAUAAACAUUGAAUACUAUCUAUAUGUUUUCGGUGUUCAAAG